rnacentral:ribozyme from 1 species
UGGCAUCAUGACUAAGCCUUUACGCGGCGAUGCUAUAAGUAAGUCAAUAGACUGAAACUAAUUAGUU